rnacentral:rRNA from 1 species
UACAGGGGGGGCAAGCGUUGUUCGGAAUUACUGGGCGUAAAGGGCUCGUAGGCGGCCAACUAAGUCAGACGUGAAAUCCCUAGGCUCAACCUAGGAACUGCGUCUGAUACUGGAUGGCUUGAAUCCGGGAGAGGGAUGCAGAAUUCCAGGUGUAGCGGUGAAAUGCGCAGAUAUCAGGAGGAACACCGGUGGCGAAGGCGGGUCUCUGGGCCGAUACUGACGCUGAGGAGCGAAAGCGUGGGGAGCGAACAGG